rnacentral:rRNA from 1 species
GACGAACGCUGGCGGCGUGCUUAACACAUGCAAGUCGAACGGAAAGGCCCUGCUUUUGUUGGGUUCUCGAGUGGCGAACGGGUGAGUAACACGUGAGUAACCUGCCCUUGACUUUGGGAUAACUUCAGGAAACUGGGGCUAAUACCGGAUAGGAGCUCCUGCUGCAUGGUGGGGGUUAGAAAGUUUCGGCGGUUGGGGAUGGACUCGCGGCUUAUCAGCUUGUUGGUGGGGUAGUUGCUUAACAAGGCUUUGACGGGUAGCCGGCCUGAGAGGGUGACCGGCCACAUGGGGACGGAGAUACGGCCCAGACUCCUACGGGAGGCAAGAGUGGGGAAUAGUGCACAAUGGGCGGAAGCCUGAUGCAGCAACUCCGCGUGGGGGAUGACGGCCUCGGGGGGUAAACCGCUUUCGCCUGUGACGAAGCGUGAGUGACGGUAAUGGGUAAAGAAGCACCGGCUAACUACGUG